rnacentral:snoRNA from 1 species
AACUCAUGGUGAGGGCACCCUCUUAAUAGGUCCUUGUAUCCCUCCCAUGCAUCAUAAAGAGUUUCUAGAUCCAUCUACACAAAAGAAGAGAUAUCAUUCCCCAAUUU